AACGCACCUUGCGCUCCUUGGUAUUCUGAGGAGCAUGCCUGUUUGAGUGUCAUGAAAUUCUCAACUGCUUUAGCUUUUGUGGUUGAAGUAAAGUUGGAUUUGGAGGAAUAAUUGCUGGCGUAACCUUUUAAGGUUGCUUGUUAGCUCCUCUUAAAUGGAUGAACUUUCCAGUAGUGUAAAAGUAACACCAAUGUGAUAAUUAUCUACGUUGGAUGAACUUGUACAAGGAAAGAUGAAUCUGUCUUGGACUCCCCCUUGACAAAAACAAAUGACAAAUUUGACCUCAAAUCAGGUAGGACUACCCGCUGAACUUAA
rnacentral:misc_RNA from 1 species